CUACCAUGCAGUCGAACGAUGAUGCUGGUGCUUGCACUGGUGGAUUAGUGGCGAACGGGUGAGUAACACGUGAGUAACCUGCCCCUGACUUCGGGAUAAGCCCGGGAAACUGGGUCUAAUACCGGAUAUGACUUCCUGCUGCAUGGCAGGGGGUGGAAAGAUUUAUCGGUUGGGGAUGGACUCGCGGCCUAUCAGCUUGUUGGUGAGGUAAUGGCUCACCAAGGCGACGACGGGUAGCCGGCCUGAGAGGGUGACCGGCCACACUGGGACUGAGACACGGCCCAGACUCCUACGGGAGGCAGCAGUGGGGAAUAUUGCACAAUGGGCGAAAGCCUGAUGCAGCGACGCCGCGUGAGGGAUGACGGCCUUCGGGUUGUAAACCUCUUUCAGUAGGGAAGAAGCCCCUUUUGGGGGUGACGGUACUUGCAAAAAAAACGCCCGCUAACUACGUGCCCACAGCCCCGGUAAUACGUAGGGCGCAAGCGUUAUCCGGAAUUAUUGGGCGUAAAGAGCUCGUAGGCGGUUUGUCGCGUCUGCCGUGAAAGUCCGAGGCUCAACCUCGGAUCUGCGGUGGGUACGGGCAGACUAGAGUGAUGUAGGGGAGACUGGAAUUCCUGGUGUAGCGGUGAAAUGCGCAGAUAUCAGGAGGAACACCGAUGGCGAAGGCAGGUCUCUGGGCAUUUACUGACGCUGAGGAGCGAAAGCAUGGGGAGCGAACAGGAUUAGAUACCCUGGUAGUCCAUGCCGUAAACGUUGGGCACUAGGUGUGGGGGACAUUCCACGUUUUCCGCGCCGUAGCUAACGCAUUAAGGCCCCGCCGG
rnacentral:rRNA from 1 species